UGUUUCUGUUUUGCCCUGCGACAGACUGGCGACAUGUCCAGGGUGACCCCGCCUCUCGCCCGAAACGUUUGCUGGAGAUCGGCGCCAGCAGCCCUCCCGACCCACUGGGGACAAGGGUGUACAGAAAAUUAAUGGAUGGACUUGUUCAUUAUCUGUGCCAAAAAAAGGAAAACAAGAGGGCAAAAAGUGUUUCACAGAAUUGCAUAUGAUUGAAAAUAUAUAUAUGUAAAAUGCGUUCAAAUAAGAUGCUACAUUUGGCUAAUAGUAGUUAGGGGUGAGCAUUUAUUGUAUAGCUUAUCAUUUAUCGUGAUAAAUUUUCUUUUGAUUUAUCAUUGUCACGAUAAAUUUCGAUUAACGAUGUUUAAAACCAGUACCUUAUUAACAGGAUUGAUAGUUUUAUUAUUCUCUCCACUGCUUGUUCAAUGAAAGCACCAAAAAGCACCAAUAAACUCGAAAAUACAGUCACCAUGUGCAGUUUAGUGAUACAAAUCCCACUUCUUUAUGUGACGGACGUCCUAAAGAAGAGAAUUAC